rnacentral:rRNA from 1 species
CCUACGGGCGGCAGCAGUGGGGAAUAUUGCACAAUGGGGGAAACCCUGAUGCAGCGACGCCGCGUGAGUGAAGGAGUAUUUCGGUACGUAAAGCUCUAUCAGCAGGGAAGAAAAUGACGGUACCUGACUAAGAAGCCCCGGCUAACUACGUGCCAGCAGCCGCGGUAAUACGUAGGGGGCAAGCGUUAUCCGGAUUUACUGGGUGUAAAGGGAGCGUAGACGGCAGCGCAAGUCUGGAGUGAAAUCCCAUGGCUUAACCAUGGAACUGCUUUGGAAACUGUGCAGCUAGAGUGCAGGAGAGGUAAGCGGAAUUCCUAGUGUAGCGGUGAAAUGCGUAGAUAUUAGGAGGAACACCAGUGGCGAAGGCGGCUUACUGGACUGUAACUGACGUUGAGGCUCGAAAGCGUGGGGAGCAAACAGGAUUAGAUACCCCAGUAGUC